rnacentral:lncRNA from 1 species
CUAGUCAUAUAAAAUUCUAAGGUAUAUAUUGGCCGCAGUAGCUUUAUUGUAGAAAUAAGGUGUACACGUAGAUAGGAUCUAUCGAUCUUAGUAGUAAAGGAGUAGUCCUAUGUGAUUUAUGAGAUUGAGUUCGAAAGACUUUGGCUAGGGCAGUGAAUGAUGGAAAAGAGUUUUCAUCAGAUUUCACAAAUAAACAAAAAUUAAAUAAAUCU